rnacentral:rRNA from 1 species
UACAGGGGGUGCAAGCGUUGUUCGGAAUUACUGGGCGUAAAGCGCGGGCAGGUGGCCUUUUAAGUCCUUUGUGAAAUCCCGGAGCUCAACUCCGGAUGUGCAUAGGAUACUGGAAGGCUCGAGACUGGUAGAGGCGAGCGGAAUUCCUGGUGUAGCGGUGGAAUGCGUAGAUAUCAGGAAGAACACCGGUGGCGAAGGCGGCUCGCUGGGACGUUACUGACGCUGAGACGCGAAAGCGUGGGGAGCAAACAGG